GUCCCGACUCCCGAUGCGCGAGUGGUGUUUCGCCAGACUGAAAUCAUAGCGGAUUAGGCUACUAUGUCAAAUAUUUUAGAAGCAUCGCGGAUGUACGGAUAUAAAUCCCGUCCAAAAGAAUUAUUUUUAUUUAGGUUCUAUGAAGUAUGAACGUCCUAAUAAUCUUGUGUUACAGUUUUGUGAAGAUGAGGCUUUCAACUUAAGGUCGAGAACUAUGUGUGGUCUGUGAACGGAGAGAGGUCAUGCCGCGCAGAGACUCAGACAUUCACGUCUUAUUUACCUCCGGAGAGACUUCGGACAACGACUGUGAAAUGGGGGCAAGUUGUGUCGAGAGAGACGGAGUGUGUCUGUGUGAGAUUGGACCUUGUUCACUGUACGCCGAAGCACACGCACACGCACACACACACACACUGCUGGACACAUUAACUUGUGAGCACUGUGGUCAAAACAGGGUGGCGAUUACCAGGUAUUCAGAAGGCUAUGGCACAGAGGAGGAAUGUGUUUUGUCCGAUCCUCAGGGUGAAAGUGACGCAGAUGCUGACAUAGAAGAUGCAGACUGCAGACUGCAGGAGCCAGGUUCUCUCCAGCGAAUCAGCUCACGGAGACGCAGACGACCACGAGUCACACGACAGGAUACAACGGAGAGCGAGGAUGACGGUGGGCGGAGCCACAGGUCCCAUCGCUGGAACCUCAGACUCAGUCCUCACCGGGCUCAUGGCAGGACCAAUCAGGAGGAGAGUGUGUCCCAGGUCAGACCGCUGGUAGUAUGUCAGCCCAGUGUCGGAGAAGGGCAGAAGGCCCCCGUAGAAACUUCCGGAAGUCCCAGGUGGCUGAUGUCCUUGAGGCCCUCAUCUCUCUCACUCUCGUUUAUCCUCCUCCUCUCUCUCCCUCUCUCUCUUUCCUUAGUCAUUGUUCUCAUGUCUUUCUUCUUGCCGUCGACCGGUGCUUGACCAAACUCUACGUUCCCUGAAUCGUGCAUCUGUCUGUCUGACACGGUUUGUGCAGCCUGUGCUACUUCACCCUUUAUUUUGUCCACCUAUCAUCUCUCUCUUUUUGAUUGGCGUGCUUUUAUCGUUUUAUCGUCAUCUUCCUCCCCUUCUCUAUCUCUGGCGUUCUCUCUUUUUCCUCUUUCUCUGUCUCUUUUUCUCCCUCUCUCCCCCUCGUUUGUAAAAAUAGACCUCUCGGCUCUCUGCUCAUACUAAGCAGAGAGGGUGUGAUAUGGAGGAGGAAGGGUUAGAAUGUCGCGCACGGAUGGUGUGGUUUGGCUCAAUGGAAAAUAUGUAAAUAACUGAACUAUGCAAUCCUCUCUAUCUCUCCUCUCCUCUCUCUCUCUCUCUCUCUCUCUCUCUCUCUCUCUCUCUCUCUCUCUCUCUCUCUCUCUCCCCCUCUCUCUCUCUCUACCUGUUCUUGUUCUCUUUCCCUUCCUGUCUUCUGCCUCGUUCCUCCUUUUUUCUCUGAGGCAGGAACGGUCCUUUGUGAAUAACGGGACCCAUGUCUCUAAAUUAGCACUUGUCCUAGUUUUUUAAAAUAUAUAUAUAAAACAGUAGAGCUUAGACAUGGGCCAACCUCUCAUCGUUUUGAUAGACUUGUUGUUUGGCAGGUAACUUACAAGGUCUAAGUUAUCCGAAUUGAAAGUGUGUUGUAAAUUUGGUAACUCUCUAUAGGAGCUAAUACUUUACUGACUACGUGCGAUAUGUAUCUACAAAUCAGUAUGUGACAAACUUCAUCCAAAUGUUUAUUUCCUCAAUUGUUUUAUGUGCUUCGUCUAAGUUGCCAGAUUUGUAUACAUGUAUGUUUAUUGUUAUAUUUUGUGGGGCCAGAAAAUUGAUGAUGAAUAAAACAACAUUGUAUUUUGA